rnacentral:rRNA from 1 species
GAUGAACGCUGGCGGUAUGCUUAACACAUGCAAGUCGAACGGACUCUUCGGAGUUAGUGGCGGACGGGUGAGUAACGCGUGAGAAUCUGGCUUUGGGUUCGGGACAACCACUGGAAACGGUGGCUAAUACCGGAUGUGCCGAGAGGUAAAAGAGAAAUUGCCUGAAGAUGAGCUCGCGUCUGAUUAGCUAGUUGGUGAGGUAAAGGCUCACCAAGGCAGCGAUCAGUAGCUGGUCUGAGGGGAUGACCAGCCACACUGGGACUGAGACACGGCCCAGACUCCUACGGGAGGCAGCAGUGGGGAAUUGUCCGAAAUGGGCGAAAGCCUGACGGAGCAAUACCGCGUGAGGGAAGAAGGCUCUUGGGGUGUAAACCUCUUUUCUUAGGGAAGAACAAAAUGACGGUACCUAAGGAAUCAGCAUCGGCUAACUCCGUG